rnacentral:rRNA from 1 species
AUUGAACGCUGGCGGCAGGCCUAACACAUGCAAGUCGAACGAGUGGCGGACGGGUGAGUAAUGUCUGGGUAACUGCCCGAUGGAGGGGGAUAACUACUGGAAACGGUAGCUAAUACCGCAUACCAUCGAAUGUGCCUAGAUGUGAUUAGCUAGUUGGUGGGGUAACGGCUCACCUAGGCGACGAUCCCUAGCUGGUCUGAGAGGAUGACCAGCCACACUGGAACUGAGACACGGUCCAGACUCCUACGGGAGGCAGCAGUGGGGAAUAUUGCACAAUGGGCGAAAGCCUGAUGCAGCCAUGCCGCGUGUGUGAAGAAGGCCUUCGGGUUGUAAAGUACUUUCAGCGGGGAGGCGUUACUCGCAGAAUAAGCACCGGCUAACUCCGUGCCAGCAGCCGCGGUAAUAC